rnacentral:rRNA from 1 species
AUUGAACGCUGGCGGCAUGCCUUACACAUGCAAGUCGAACGGCAGCACGGGAGCCAUCCUGGUGGCGAGUGGCGAACGGGUGAGUAAUACAUCGGAACGUGCCCAAUCGUUGGGGCUAACGCAACGAAAGCUGUGCUGAUCCCGCAUACGAUCUACGGAUGAACGCCGGGGACCGCAAGUCCUUGCGCGACUUGCUCGGCCGAUGGCAGAUUAGGUAGUUGGUUGGGUAAAGGCUCACCAAGCCAACGAUCUGUAGCUGGUCUGAGAGGACGACCAGCCACACUGGGACUGAGACACGGCCCAGACUCCUACGGGAGGCAGCAGUGGGGAAUUUUGGACAAUGGGCGCAAGCCUGAUCCAGCCAUGCCGCGUGCAGGAUGAAGGCCUUCGGGUUGUAAACUGCUUUUGUAAGGAACGAAACGGCGUUUUCUAAUAAAGAGGGCUAAUGACGGUACCGUAAGAAUAAGCACCGGCUAACUACGUG